AUGUUCUCAGUGACCAUUCUGCUGCUUGAAAUGCUCUUCACAGUGAGAGGAACCGGAGCCCAGUCAGUGACCCAGCCUGACGACCACAUCAGUGUCUCUGAAGGAGCCCCUCUGGAGCUGAGGUGCAUCUAUUCCUAUAGUGGAACUCCUACUCUCUUCUGGUACGUCCAGUACCCCAGCCAAGGCCCCCAGCUUCUCCUCAAGUACUAUUCAGGGAACACCCGGGUUAAAGGCAUUAAAGAUUUUGAGGCUGAAUUUAAGAAGAAUGAAACCUCCUUCCAUCUGAGAAAAUCAUCAGCCCAUUGGAAUGACUCGGCUGA